rnacentral:rRNA from 1 species
GAUCCUGGCUCAGGAUGAACGCUGGCGGCGUGCUUAACACAUGCAAGUCGAGCGGAAGCACUUAAGUCUGAUUCUUCGGAUGAAGACUUUUGUGACUGAGCGGGCGGACGGGUGAGUAACGCGUGGGUAACCUGCCUCAUACAGGGGGAUAACCAGUUAGAAAAUGACUGCUAAUACCGCAUAAGACCACGGUACCGCAUGGUACAGUGGUAAAAACUCCGGUGGUAUAGAGAUGGACCCGCGUCG